rnacentral:rRNA from 1 species
UGGCCUACGGGGGGCAGCAGUGGGGGAUAUUGCACAAUGGGGGAAACCCUGAUGCAGCGACGCCGCGUGAGCGAUGAAGUAUUUCGGUAUGUAAAGCUCUAUCAGCAGGGAAGAAAAUGACGGUACCUGACUAAGAAGCCCCGGCUAACUACGUGCCAGCAGCCGCGGUAAUACGUAGGGGGCAAGCGUUAUCCGGAUUUGCUGGGUGUAAAGGGAGCGUAGACGGCAGCGCAAGUCUGGAGUGAAAUGCCGGGGCUCAACCCCGGAACUGCUUUGGAAACUGUGCAGCUAGAGUGCGGGAGAGG